rnacentral:rRNA from 1 species
GACGAACGCUGGCGGCGUGCUUAACACAUGCAAGUCGAACGGAAAGGCCCUGCUUUUGUGGGGUGCUCGAGUGGCGAACGGGUGAGUAACACGUGAGUAACCUGCCAUUGACUUUGGGAUAACUUCAGGAAACUGGGGCUAAUACCGGAUAGGAGCUCCUGCUGCAUGGUGGGGGUUGGAAAGUUUCGGCGGCUGGGGUUGGACUCGCGGCUUAUCAGCUUGUUGGUGGGGUAGUGGCUUACCAAGGCUUUGACGGGUAGCCGGCCUGAGAGGGUGACCGGCCACAUUGGGACUGAGAUACGGCCCAGACUCCUACGGGAGGCAGCAGUGGGGAAUAUUGCACAAUGGGCGGAAGCCUGAUGCAGCAACGCCGCGUGCGGGAUGACGGCCUGCGGGUUGUAAACCGCUUUCGCCUGUGACGAAGCGUGAGUGACGGUAAUGGGUAAAGAAGCACCGGCUAACUACGUG